UACGUAGGGUGCAAGCGUUGCCCGGAUUUAUUGGGCGUAAAGGGCGCGUAGGCGGCUCGGCACGUCCGUUGUGAAAUCGCCCGGCUCAACUGGGCGGGGUCAGCGGAUACGGUCGAGCUUGAGCAAGCUAGGGGGCAAUGGAAUUCCCGGUGUAGUGGUGGAAUGCGUAGAGAUCCGGAAGAACACCGGUGGCGAAGGCGGCCUGCUGGGCAGUUGCUGACACUGAGGCGCGACAGCGUGGGGAGCAAACAGG
rnacentral:rRNA from 1 species